CAUUGCCUGCCCAGUGACACACGUUUAACGGCCGCGGUACCCUGACCGUGCAAAGGUAGCAUAAUCACUUGUUCUUUAAAUAGGGACUCGUAUGAAUGGCACCACGAGGGUUUAACUGUCUCUUACUUUCAACCAGUGAAAUUGACCUGUCCGUGAAGAGACGGACAUGAAACAAUAAGACGAGAAGACCCUGUGGAGCUUCAAUUUAUUAGUACAACUAAAAACCAUACAAACCAACAGGCUCUAAACCCCUAUACCUGUACUAAAAAUUUUGGUUGGGGCGACCUCGGAGCACAACCAAACCUCCGAAUAAUCCACGCUAAGACCGCACAAGUUAAAGCAAACUAGCACUUACAAUUGACCCAAUAAUUUGAUCAACGGAACAAGUUACCCCAGGGAUAACAGCGCAAUUCUAUUCUAGAGUCCAUAUCAACAUAGAGUUUACGACCUCGAUGUUGGAUCAGGACAUCCUGAUGGUGCAGCAGCUAUCAAG
rnacentral:rRNA from 1 species